UGGGGAAUAUUGCACAAUGGGCGCAAGCCUGAUGCAGCGACGCCGCGUGGGGGAUGACGGCCUUCGGGUUGUAAACUCCUUUCGCCAGGGACGAAGCGUUUUGUGACGGUACCUGGAGAAGAAGCACCGGCUAACUACGUGCCAGCAGCCGCGGUAAUACGUAGGGUGCAAGCGUUGUCCGGAAUUACUGGGCGUAAAGAGCUCGUAGGUGGUUUGUCGCGUCGUCUGUGAAAUUCCACAGCUUAACUGUGGGCGUGCAGGCGAUACGGGCAUAACUUGAGUACUGUAGGGGUAACUGGAAUUCCUGGUGUAGCGGUGAAAUGCGCAGAUAUCAGGAGGAACACCGAUGGCGAAGGCAGGUUACUGGGCGGUUACUGACGCUGAGGAGCGAAAGCAUGGGUAGCAAACAGGAUUAGAUACCCUGGUAGUCCAUGCCGUAAACGGUGGGCGCUAGGUGUAGGGGCCUUUUGGGGUUUCUGUGCCGUAGCUAACGCAUUAAGCGCCCCGCCUGGGGAGUACGGCCGCAAGGCUA
rnacentral:rRNA from 1 species